GACGAACGCUGGCGGCGUGCCUAAUACAUGCAAGUCGAGCGAGACUCUUCGGAGUCUAGCGGCGGACGGGUGAGUAACACGUGGGCAACCUGCCUGUAAGACUGGGAUGACACCGGGAAACCGGUGCUAAUACCGGAUAAUCCUUUUCCUCUCAUGAGGAGAAGCUGAAAGACGGUUUCGGCUGUCACUUACAGAUGGGCCCGCGGCGCAUUAGCUAGUUGGUGAGGUAACAGCUCACCAAGGCGACGAUGCGUAGCCGACCUGAGAGGGUGAUCGGCCACACUGGGACUGAGACACGGCCCAGACUCCUACGGGAGGCAGCAGUAGGGAAUCUUCCACAAUGGACGAAAGUCUGAUGGAGCAACGCCGCGUGAGCGAUGAAGGCCUUCGGGUCGUAAAGCUCUGUUGUUAGGGAAGAACAAGUACCGGAGUAACUGCCGGUACCUUGACGGUACCUAACCAGAAAGCCACGGCUAACUACGUGCCAGCCGCCGCGGUAAUAC
rnacentral:rRNA from 1 species